AAAGAGAAGAGGCAGAGUGAGAUGAUCUUACCAUCCGUUUUAUCAGAGGCAUCAUCUUUAGAAGCAAAGUCAGAGAGAGAGAGAGAGAGAGAGAGAGAGAGAGAGAGAGAGAGAGAGAG